CCCCGGCCCCGCGGCAUGGGCUGCCCCGGCUUGCAGGGACGCCGUGACUCUGCCUGGGAUUUAAGGUGCGCUUCCCGUCAAGCGAUGUACCCUCGAUCUCCUCGGCGUUACCUAGCCCCUCAGUUCAGUGCAGUGAUACCAACGGUAAUCCCAGUUCGGAAAGGAUGGUGAACAUUGUCAUGGCUUGACGGGAAAGAAAAGGUUCUUCAGAGGGAAAAAUCCUGGACAUUGAAGAACUGAUGAUCCGUAUCUGUUGGUGUCUGGUUGUCCUGCCCCACGACCAUCCCUGAUGCAAUUCAAGAAGCAAUGCAGACAACACGACGAGGAUGCUUCAGGAGCAUCUGCUCACAGCACUGGGUGGGACACGUCAGAGCUGACCCCCAGACCAGGGUGAAACUCCCAGUAACUCCUGAAAAAGAACACCAGCAACCACACAUGCUUCUCCCAGUCAGCCACUGGGCAGAAUGGCUGCAGCUCCUUCCCCUGGUCUGGAACAGGUCUAUUUCACUUGUCCUUUAAUAAUACAACUGCUAUAGCUGUGACAAAACAGGACCCUUCUGAGCAUGAAUAAACACAGAAGAAAAGAAGGAACCUUUUCUCAGGAAAAGAAAGCUCAGUGACUCUACAGAGUCAUGGAAAGGCUCUAGUAAAUGUUUAAGGUUUAUUGUUGUAAGCUUUAUGUUUGUCUUUUUUUUUUUUCCUUAAAGAUGAAUAGAGUUUGGUAGUGAGAAGAGGAAGUGCAUUUAAGUGUACACAGCAGAGGAAAUUAAAGUCUUCAGAGCUUUCUGUGAAG